rfam:Niastella koreensis GR20-10, complete genome.
AGUUACGUGGCCGAGCGGAGAGGCGGAGGCUAGCAAACCCUCUUACGGUGGUUCGAUCCCACCCGUAACUG